GUUGAGGUCUAUCCUGAUGGGGCUUUCUGUAGCCACACAUCAUUGGAAACGCCUCAUAGAGUGACAUUGUGGCGCUUUACUCGCAGGACUAUUUGUUAGGUCUGUGGGAAAGAACUUCAAGAAAAUU